ensembl:lncRNA novel transcript
CUCUCCAGCUCUCAACGUCUCAACUGCUGUUCAUCGCCAGGGCUCUAAGACAGCGAGCCAUGUUCCUUCUUCUGGUGCUUCUCACUGGACUUGGUGGGAUGCAUGCAGACCUCAAUCCUCAUAAAAUCUUCCUACAGACCACAAUUCCAGAGAAGAUUUCAUCAUCGGAUGCAAAAACAGAUCCAGAACAUAAUAUCAAUUUUAUCUUCAGCUUCUGUUAUUAAUUCUUAUGACGAAAAUGACAUCCGUCAUUCCAAACCUCUGCUAGUUCAGAUGGAUUGCAUUUAUAAUGGAUAUGUUGCGGGUAUUCCAAAUUCUCUUGUGACUCUCAGCGUAUGUUCAGGACUCAGGGGAACAAUGCAGCUGAAAAACAUCUCAUAUGGAAUUGAACCGAUGGAGGCUGUUAUCAGGAUUUAUACACAAGAUUUAUGAAGAAAAAUAUGCUGACACUAAUAUUCUCUUAGAAGAAAAUGACACUUAUACUUGGUUUAAUUCAGAGUAUCAAGUCAGAAAAAGUUCAGAAAAAACUGACUUUAUUAAGUUAUUCCCUCGAUAUAUUGAAAUGCAUAUUGUUGUGGACAAAAAUUUGACGGAGUCUCGAUCUGUUGCCCAGACUGGAGUGCAGUGGCAUGAUCUUGGCUCACCACAACCUCUGCCUUCUGGGUUCAAGCGAUUCAUCUGCCUCAGCCUCCCAAGUAGCUGGGACUGCAAGGUACUCUGGUGGUGUAAAGGAUUUUAACAUCUGUAGCUUGGAUGACUUUAAAUAUAUUUCUUCUCAUAAUGGCCUUACAUGUCUUCAGACAAACCCUCUUGAAAUGCCAACCUACACACACAGGAGAAUAUGUGGCAAUGGGUUGUUGGAAGGAAGUGAAGAAUGUGACUGUGGCACUAAAGAC